CUCCUUCCAACUCAGGGUAUUCUAUGAUUCUCUAAAAUUUCUUGAAUGUUCCAACCCAGCCCUCUGUUUCAGCAGAAGGGAUGUUGACUGCCAUGAGUGAAUCUCAGAGUGAUUGACAUUUUUUCAUGUCCCACAGUGCUGACCAUCACUGCUGAGGGUUGCACCAGCUGGCAUUAGCAUGGCACCUGCUGUCCUCCGAGAAAACAGCAACCUAAAUCUUGCCUCACUGGAUUAUUACAUGUCAAGGAUCUCAAGAACAUAGAAAUAUUUCAUUCCAAUUUUCUAAGGAAGAAGUGUGCACUGAGAUACCUGUGUGCAGAGUGCAGACUAUAGAAAAGCAAAUAAUAUUGUGCCAUAUAUUUCUAUAUAAUAAGAUUCAUGAAGAGAAAUAUGCAAGCAAUAAAUUGUGCACAGCUGGAAAUAUGA